rnacentral:lncRNA from 12 species
GGGAGACAGACCCCUAGAUCUGUAGAACCUAAAAUUGUUGGGGAGGAAAAAUAACUACUAUGCUUCAGUCACUGGUUUAAGCUGUUGAUGACUGAUAGCACCAUGACCUUGCUGUACAUUAUCUGUCAAUAUUCAGGCUAAUAGCUUCUGAGUGAUGUGUUAUAUAAUAUGACCAGUGGACCCUAUGGUUAUAUGUUCCUUGUGGGUCUCUGUGCUAUAAAGUGGGCCACUUGGUCUGAGAUAAUGUCAUUGCAGGAUCCCAUGGUGGUGGUUCAAUAAAUAUUCUGUGAGCCUCUGGACAGUGAGACAUAUGAACAAGCAAAGCAAACCCAUAUCCAAUGUACAAGGCAGUUCUAAUCAGGAAAAUUCUUUUUUUCAGGAUGUAAAGAGACUGAUGUAAUCAUCUUCCUACUAAGAAGAUACAUGGUCUCUUUCAGGGAUAGUGCUACAUUGAGGGCUAAUGUUUGUUGCUGCUGCCACCAGGCUGGACAUUCAACAAUAGCUAGAUCAGUCUUGGUAAGAUGAAACCCACACCUCUGGAUUCAUGCAUAGUCUCUCUCUGUCUUUAUGAUGACUCAAUUCAAGGCCCCAAUUUGCGCACAUUAAGCAUCUGAGGAUAGAGGUUGGUUUAUAGGUAUUGAAUAAAUCAUCCUGUGAACCUAUUUAAAAUAUCUUCUGUAGAUGGAUGGUCUCUGGUGGACCUGAAUCUGUGAUACAUAGAUUCUCACACUUUAUGCCUAUUCUUGCAGCACCAUACUUAUGCAUCUUUCCCAGGCUAGAAAGGAUGAUCUCGUCAAUAAGUGGUGCUGGGCCAACAGCAUAUCUCUAGGUCUGGUGCACAGAAACUCAACCAAUAUUUGUUGAACACAUGCUGAAUUAAAGUAAAAUGAAUGCAAAGGGGAUAAAAAGAAAGUUGAAGUGACUAUAUAAAAUCAGACAAAGACUUCAGGAAAAGUUUAUGGCCAGGAAUAAAGACAAACAUUAUAUAAUAUAAAGAAGCCA